rnacentral:rRNA from 1 species
AGCUCGUAGUUGAAUUUCGGGGUUAGUAGGUUGGUCAUGCCUCUGGUAUGUACUGGUCUCACUGAUUCCUCCUUCCUGAUGAACCUUAAUGCCAUUAAUUUGGUGUUUUGGGGAAUUUGGACUGUUACUUUGAAAAAAUUAGAGUGUUUAAAGCAAGCUAACGCUUGAAUACAUUAGCAUGGAAUAAUGAAAUAGGACGUUCGAUCCUAUUUUGUUGGUUUCUAGGAUUGACGUAAUGAUUAAUAGGGAUAGUUGGGGGCAUUAGUAUUCAAUUGUCAGAGGUGAAAUUCUUGGAUUUAUUGAAGACUAACUACUGCGAAAGCAUUUGCCAAGGAUGUUUUCAUUAAUCAAGAACGAAAGUUAGGGGAUCGAAGACGAUCAGAUACCGUCGUAGUCUUAACCAUAAACUAUGCCGACUAGGGAUCGGAUGAUGUUAAUUUUUUAAUGACUCAUUCGGCACCUUAC